rnacentral:rRNA from 1 species
GACGAAGGUGGCAAGCGUUGUUCGGAAUCACUGGGCUUAAAGAGCACGUAGGCGGAUCGGAAAGCGUCCUGUGAAAGCCCUCGGCUCAACCGAGGAAUUGCUUGGCGAACUUCCGGUCUUGAGGCAGGUAGGGGCGAGUGGAACUCUCGGUGGAGCGGUGGAAUGCGUAGAUAUCGAGAGGAACGCCGGAGGCGAAGGCGACUCGCUGGGCCUGACCUGACGCUGAGGUGCGAAAGCCAGGGGAGCAAACGGGAUUAGAUACCCCCGUA